CCUACAAAGUUGCGCACACGCUCGCCGCUAAAGGGCUUAUGUAUAAUCACUACCCGUGUUUUAAAUGGCCAGUCACAAGCGGAGAAGAAAAGGAAGAAGAAGAAGAAAAGAGGAGGGAGAAACCUGAUUUGAAUAACACCAGCACAAAACGAAUAAGACUCACGAAAAAGUUUCAGUCGCAUCUCUGACAAUGAUGAAAACGGAUCUGGUUGAAUCAAUUGUGCGCCGCUGGAACAUUUUCCAGUCGAUUAUUAUCAUUUCCACAUUCGUGACUGGAAUAAUUGCAACAUGUCCCGAUCCUCGUCUAAUUACGCCGUGUCAAUGCCAAACCGAGAACAAUGUCGUCUCCAUGGUUUGUGCUAACCUACAAAGUGUCCAACAAUUAAUGAAAAUCUUUGAACCGCCGUACCCUGUUAAUCAACUCUGGCAUUUGACGGUGAAACACAGCCACUUGGAUGACUUGGAAGCCAAUCUCCUUGGUGACAAGUCAUUUGUCGUCAUUUUGUUCCAAAAUGUGACUGGCGUGAGCAAGAUUAUGCCACACGCAUUUGCCGCUUCCGUCGAUAGACUUCGUGUCCUGACUUUCGACUCAUCGCCGUCGCUCAACGUCCUUUCAGUUCAAGGAAUUGCUGACUUGGAAAAUCUUGUCGACUUUGAAGUGACAGCCAGCGUCGAUCAAUUGAUAGAUUUUCCUUCUUUACCCAACUUGCAAUAUCUACACCUUUAUGGCAAUAGGUUUUCUGUUCCACCCAAUCUACCGCAACUGCCUAAACUUCACUCGCUCUGGUUGAACUCUGGCAAGUUGACAACUAUCAAACCUCUUGAUCUAGCUUUCUUGCCUAGUUUGAGAAAGAUUGUUCUCUUCGGCAAUCAAUUGCGACAGUUGGAUGCUGGAGAUUUGCAUUUUCUAUCUCCGCGAGUUGAUCUGGUAGACUUGAGUGAUAACGACUUGAGCAGUGGUAUUCAUCCAAAUGCUAUCCAAGGGAUUAGCUUUAGCACGAUUAUUGACUUGAAGAAAACUAAUCUCACCCAACUGGAGGAAGCUACUUUUCGGCCGAUUCUAAAUGUACUCGCCCGUGGUGCAGGACAUAUCCAACUUCACGGAACCAUGCUACAAUGCGACUGUAAUUCUUUUGGUUGGCUUCUUCGCGAACCCAAGUUAAUGGCCAAAAUUUCGCAAACUUCCAAAUGUUCUGAUGGCGUGAAUAUUCAUUUCAAAACCAGCCGCCUAAAUUGCCCUUUGAACGAAACAAUAUCCAGCCAGUAAAAACUAAAAUCACACACAACUUCCUCAAUUAGAAAUUUAACGUAUUAUUUUAAAAUAUAUAUAAUUUUUUAACAUUUAUUUUCGCAGUAAGUUUGAAUAACGCUAAUAAUAUAUUGUAAAGAAAAACAAAUGACAAACAAUUCUAUUUCCGCAUAACAAAAACAAUGUGGCCAGAAACGGCUUCACCUGGGUUCGACGUGUGGGGUCGUUUAAAAACAUAGGAGCAGCAAGCAAAGUUUUUUGUCCUUGUCCUUGGGUCUCUUGUUGCGUCUUUUCAAAGGAAAAAACUAAGAUAUUAAGCUUCAACGAAAGUUUUAAUGUCAGUCAUGUUGGAUUAGCUGGAAAAAUUGAAAUUCUGUCGUGUUGUUUGCUGAAGAAAAAGUAACUCUGAGCACCGCAAAUGUGGCUGGCUUUGCGGCUUACUGUUCACUGGUGAGGAAUAUUGAAGUUCAGUGGCGUGUGGAAGAAUGAAGUGGGUUUCCGUGGCCUUUCUUCUGUCCAUCGGCACAGUUGUCGCCAGACCGAAAUCUAGUAGCACUGAAGGAGGAAUAGUUUUAAAUGACAUACCCACAAGUUCAGGCUCUAGGUCGAGGAUUGAGCAGCCUUACCUACGGCACGCCUUAACUAGUGACUUGAGAAGGACUGAAGGACAAGAUUUCUGCCGUAAAACAGCAAAAUGUCAGCCAAUCAAAAACAACAUUUGCUUGACAACGAAAUUACCAUAUUCACAAACAUCUUUGGAACUGGUUACCGAUUCACACACUCAGGAUGAUGUUCAGGAUAAGCUCAUGUUUUGGCAGAACUUGAAAAGUGUUCCCAAAUGCUGGGCUGUGAUUCAACCCUUUUUGUGUGCUCUCUACAUGCCAAGAUGUGAAAAUGGAACAGUAGAACUUCCUUCUCAGGAAAUGUGCAAGGUUAUUCGUAAUCCUUGCAGAAUUGUGGAACUUGAACACAGGAAUGGCUGGCCAGAUUUUAUGAGAUGUGAAGACACUGAAAAAUUCCCUUCUGGCUGCAAAAAUGAGGUGAGAGAAUUGAAAUUCAACAUCACUCCAAAGUGCCAGUCUCCUCUGGUGGAAACGGACAAUAGUUUGGCUUAUGUUGAAGGAGUUGACGGAUGCGGACUGCCUUGCACUUCCCCGCUGUUUACAAAGGAGGAACAUGAACAAGUCCAACGAUUCACACAGACUCUGGUCGCCAUGUGCCUCACCACCAAUUUGUUUGCUGUGUUUACGUUCAUGAUUGACUGGCGCUCCGCUUCACGCUACCCGGCCGUUAUUAUUUUUUACAUGAACGUAUGCUUCGCUGCCGCUUGUAUCGGUUGGAUUGCUCAAUAUAUUCCCAGUGCUAGACAGGAUAUCAUAUGCCGGAAAGAUGGAACAGCUCGUGUAUCAGAACCAAGUGGCGGAGAAACGCUGUCUUGUGUUGUUAUAUUCAUCUUAAUCUAUUAUUUUCUCAUGGCUGCUUGUGUUUGGUUUGUCAUGCUAGCCUAUUCGUGGUUCGUCAGCUUCCAAGCCCUGGGUAAAAUCCGUGAGAAAGUCAGCUCCAAAGCUGCUUACUUUCACUUGGUCUCCUGGUCAAUCCCUCUGGUCCUUACAAUUACAUGCAUGGCGCUAGCACAGGUCGAAGCACAAAGUCCUCAUGGAAUUUGUUUCGUGGCCAACAGCAAAGUGGUGCGGUCUGGUUUCGUUCUGGCCCCUGUAAUGAUCUUGCUUUUCAUUGGCCAUGUGUUUCUCUACCGCGGUUUGCUUAUUUUGAUUCGUCUCAAACUGGGCAGCGCUGCCUCAAUCUCCGCUUCCGCCAAUUCCAAGUUACGCAACACCAUCGUUCGACUCGUCUCGUUCUCAGCCUCUAUUAUCUGUGCUAUCGGUUUGUCCAUUUUCUGCCAUGUUUACGAAUUCGAUAGACGAACUCAGUGGAAAACUUCCUUCCGCUCCUACAUGGUAUGCCUGGCCAAUCAAAACACCUCUCGCAUUCAGAAUCAAGGCCUUGCCGAUGACUGUGAAUUGGAAUCUCGACCGAGCAUGACCAUCACCCAAGUUCAUUUGAUUGCCGUCUUUGGAGCUGGUGUAGCCGUAUCUUCGUGGGUCUGGACAAAGGCUUCCGUCCUGGCUUGGCGGAGGUGGUACCGAAGGACCUUCAACAAGAGACCGUUGGAUGAACGCGUUCGCAUUCGCAAACAUAAAAUCAUUGCUCAGGCGUUUGCCAAGCGAAGAGAUCUGAAUCACAUGGGCCGGAUGUCUAUCAGUAUCCACAGUACGCACGACGAUCCAGUCGGUUUUGGCAACCUUGAUCUGAAUAGCGCCGCUUCCAAUGACGUCAGUUCUGCAUGGGCUGCCGCCAUUCCCAAAUUCGUCACACGCCGUGGCGCUAUCGUCGGCGCGGCUGGAGCCUUUGGACUGCGGCGCAAUUCGCUGGAUUCCGAAAUAAGCAUGAGCGCCGUCCGGCGUAUUUCGGUCGAAUCGAGAGCCAGUCAGUCUCGCCGUCACUCAUUCGAUUCACAAUACUCGGUACAUUCUCAACAAACGACGGAUUUGGAGCGGCUCACUAGACUACACUUCCGCCAUGGAGGUCGUAAACGUAAUAAUUUGCUCCGGGGCGGAAGAAAAAUGGCGCUGAGACGCAGGGGAAGUAUUACGUCUCAAGCUAGUUCGAAAGGGUCGCAAAUAUUGCCAGCCAUUACUAAACUUGCGCUGAGAAAUCGCCGAGGAAGUAUCACUUCACUGGCCAGUUCUAAAGGCUCGCAAAUCUUGCCGGCCAUUACCAAACGUAGAAACCAAUUACUUCCUCUUGGAUCAGCUGGAGCGAGCACUGUUGUCCAGGUUCAACCCAAUGACAAGCGGCAAUCAUCGCAAGUCGAUCUGGAACGAAUUGAGCGCUUCUCGCUCAACCUGCCGGGCGACGGAAGUAGCGACGAAAGUGACAUCGAUAAUGGAGAAUCAUGCAAAGUUACUACGGUCCCUGUCACCCAGUCGACUCAAACUGCCGUGACGUGGAACGUGGCCACACAGACGUCGCCCAGUUUAUCGACGCUUCGACCUAUUUCUACCAAGAGUGCUAAAACAACAACGCAGUCUGUGUCUAAAGGCACACAGGUGACUUCAUCUUCUUCUUCAUCGUCACCAUCAUCCUCGGCAUCCACUUCACCGGAAGCCGUCCGUAAAUCGCUGCCGAAACCGUCGACAUCGGCCCCAACGAACAUCUCGAGCUCAAAGUGCCACAGAGAACGAGGUCAAGCCGAUGGGUCACCCAAUGGAAGCUCAUCAGACGUAUCGGAUCACAUAUCAGCCAGCGGGCCUGGCCUAAGUUCGCCUUCGCAAUCAUUGCUCGAUUAUUUGCUGCCCAUCAAAUCGGAGAAGAAAUCUGAUGAUCGACAACUCAACGGUUCCAAGAGCAGUGGCAGGUCCAAUAGGAACAGAAGCGCCCGCUCUCGCGGGGUCGAAGCAAUUGAGUUGGACCGUUCGUCUAUCGCCCGCCUUCUUGAAAAACUACGAGAGGAGGACCACAAAGCGGCGGUUGAAGCUGCCAAUGCCGUUAUCGAUUCAGACGAACGUCCUAAACGCUCCUACGACAGGCGUCAUCGCGUUGAGCGUAAUCGUCGCUCACAAUCUGAACGCCACGACGGCAAUGAAAUUGAAUUAGAUUGCUUGCUGAGCUCCAAGAAUUCGAAUCGCUCUGAUCGAUCCAGAAAAUCCGGCAGUCGACGCUCCCGUUCCAAGCAAGAAACAAUUGUCAAUGACGAUGUAUCAUAAUGAUCAAAUCUUUUCUUAACUCCCUUUUCGGUCUUGACGAUUCAACUUUAUUUCCUUUUUCCUCUCCCGUAUUCCGACAUUUUAUUUUAUUCUUUCCCCAUAUACCUGAACGUGACAAUCGUUGUUACCAACGACCUCCGUUUAUUUUUAAAAGUUAUGUGACUCAACUUUCUAUGUAACUUUUUUUUAUCUAAAUCCAACAGAGGACGAAUCUCAUAUGCAGCUAAAAAUCAAUCAAUCAGAUGGUUUUAACUUUAUCGAACCGGAUCUCUUCUUGGCAAAUAGUGUCAAUAAAAAAAAAUGAACACAAUUCGAGCUGCCGAUUUUUUCACGGCAUAAUCAAAUGUGCGCGUUCAGCUGAGCUUUUUUAAAUCAUUCGAUUUAUACCACGGCUGAGUUGCUGCUAGCUGGAAGCGGAAAUGGUGCAUCCGCUCCUUUUGGCUACGACAAUUUCAUUUAGGUAUAUACUUUUUUUUUCCACGUGUCAAGUUAACGUGCUCUACUACAAGUACGUUGCCUUUGCUUUUGAUGAAGUAGCAGCUGCGCACUAGUUUUCUGAUGAACAUUUUGGACUCAUAUAAAGGAAGUUUUUUAAAUGA